CGGCGGCGGCCAGCAGGACGGCCCCGAGCCCUUCGAGGAUCCGGCCGGGCACCUGCACGGCCGCGUCGGGUUCGAGGCCCGGCCCGUGGG
rnacentral:tRNA from 1 species